rnacentral:snRNA from 14 species
UGGCUUACCUGGCAGGGGAGGCAUGACAAAGGUGGUGGUUUUCCAGUGCUCACCCAUGGCCCUGGGGGUGUGCUGACUGACUCCUGUGGGAAAGUCGGGCGUGUAUUUUGUGUUAGUGGAGGACUGUAUUCACACUCCCCUCUA